rnacentral:rRNA from 1 species
GAUGAACGCUGGCGGCGUGCCUAAUACAUGCAAGUCGAGCGAACGGACGAGAAGCUUGCUUUUCUGAUGUUAGCGGCGGACGGGUGAGUAACACGUGGAUAACCUACCUAUAAGACUGGGAUAACUUCGGGAAACCGGAGCUAAUACCGGAUAAUAUUUUGAACCGCAUGGUUCAAAAGUGAAAGACGGUCUUGCUGUCACUUAUAGAUGGAUCCGCGCUGCAUUAGCUAGUUGGUAAGGUAACGGCUUACCAAGGCAACGAUGCAUAGCCGACCUGAGAGGGUGAUCGGCCACACGGGAACUGAGACACGGUCCAGACUCCUACGGGAGGCAGCAGUAGGGGAUCUUCCGCAAUGGGCGAAAGCCUGACGGAGCAACGCCGCGUGAGUGAUGAAGGUCUUCGGAUCGUAAAACUCUGUUAUUAGGGAAGAACAUAUGUGUAAGUAACUGUGCACAUCUUGACGGUACCUAAUCAGAAAGCCACGGCUAACUACGUG